rnacentral:rRNA from 1 species
CCUACGGGUGGCAGCAGUGAGGAAUAUUGGUCAAUGGACGAGAGUCUGAACCAGCCAAGUAGCGUGAAGGAUGACUGCCCUAUGGGUUGUAAACUUCUUUUAUAAAGGAAUAAAACGAGGCACGUGUGCCUUUUUGCAUGUACUUUAUGAAUAAGGAUCGGCUAACUCCGUGCCAGCAGCCGCGGUAAUACGGAGGAUCCGAGCGUUAUCCGGAUUUAUUGGGUUUAAAGGGUGCGCAGGCGGCGUGUCAAGUCAGCGGUAAAAUGUCGGGGCUCAACCCCGGCCGGCCGGUGAAACUGGCGUGCUAGAGUUGGAGAGAAGUAUGCGGAAGUCGUGGUGUAGCGGUGAAAUGCAUAGAUAUCACGAAGAACCCCGAUUGCGAAGGCAGCAUACCGGCUCCACACUGACGCUGAGGCACGAAAGCGUGGGUAUCGAACAGGAUUAGAUACCCCGGUAGUC